CGACAGAGACUCGCAGAUCCAUUGUGUGUCAGGAACAGAAUGAAAUCACAAUACUUUCAUUCCUUUUAUGUCUGUUAAGGCUUGUUGGGAAACCAUGUAAAGUCCUCCCCACGUAGAAGGCGAUGUUCCCUAAAAGUUCUCUAAAGCUGUCACCUAUUUACUUUGUGAGAAGAUGCAACCUGUUGACUGAAUCAUUCAGCCCGCACAUGUGAACCAAUCAUCUCUCCCACGUUACUGCUACAGCACGAAAACAUGGAUGAACAUCGGAAGAAAGAAAGACAUGAACAUUAUGGAUGACAUGGGGGUAUCAUGCAGUAUUAUAGAAGAGGACACAGUAAGCAAGGCUGAUUUUAGGCUGAGUAUACUUUUUUCCAGUCGAGGGAAGGGGGUGAGAGGGCCAAGUUUCGGGAGUCACGGUUCGCAACUGACAUUAAGUAAUUAUAAGAAAGUUUCUCUUAAUUCUUAAAGAACCAUAGUUUUUACUCAGUUGUGACGAAAACGAGCUUCCAUAAUAUGAUUUUAACUAAAUUAGAAGCCUGAGACUUUUCCAGUAACUCAAUAAAACAAAAAUGUGUUUCUCGGUCAAAGUUACGGAAUGCCAAGUCUGAAAUUAAAAAUAAAUAAAUACAUAAAUAAAUAUACAAAGAAAUGUAAAAAAGCAAAAAUAAAUAAAUAUAUAUAUAAAUAAAUAUACUUUGAGGCCACAGUGACACCUUGUGGUGUGGCCAAAAUACAAGAAGUGUAGCCUGUUCUCUACAAAAUUAACUUACAAAAUUAAAAUAUAUAUAUAUUUUUUUGGAAGUUCCAUUAAAAUGCAGUUAGCUCAAAAAUAUGAGGGCACGCGACAGGUGCUGUUUGAAAGAGCAUGAUGCAUCUGUGUAUGUUUAAUGCAUGGCGUGUGGCACCAGCUCCGUUUCAAUGGGCACAUUUUGAUUAAUCUAAUUCUGGAUAUUUCCAGGUGAUAACUUAGCCUAAAACGUGAGAUUAAUAAUAAGACCACACCAAGACAAUAUAAUCAGUGAUGCCGUGACUGUCCACACGAGAAGUGAUGCGACACAACAAAAUGUUCUACUGUAACUGACGCCUCGUUCUAUUUCGGAUGUUUGAAAUAUGUGUUGUAUUUUAAGCGUUUGUCACAUGUUGUGCAUGUAAAAGUAUAGGAAAUAUGAAUGUGAAGUGAAUUUGUGGUCUCGUUUCAAAUGCAUUGAUCAAAAUGCUUCACUGUAGCCUAUAUGUGUGCUGCUUCCUUUCCGUGUUCUGCCCGGUGUCCGAGUCUCAAUCAAACACAAGCUCUUAUCAGCCACAUUCAUUCACGUCACCAAAUGAUUAAUAAUGGGAAAUAACAAGCGCUUCCAUUUCAGAGUCCCUGUUAUCAGAUCUGUUGAAGAUGUUGCUGUUCAUGUUUGCCAGCCCAUGACAUUUUACAAAUCCAGACCAGACGAUGUUUUACAGCCAUGUCCAGAAUAAAGAGUAGCCUAUCCAUGUCUCACAGUACAGUUAGGGUGAUAUUAUAUGACUUAACCCGUGAUUUAAGAUUUUGGCCAUACUACCCAUCCAAGUCAUUCAUCAGUGACAACAGGCUACAUUUGUAUUUCGGCCACACCACAAGGUGUCACUGUGGCCUUAACGCUUCGCCCUCACCUACUCUGAGCUAGAUUGCUAUGUCUGAGGUAAAUCAUGCCUUCCUCAUUACCCUACAGACAAAGAAAUAGAAGGGUCUGGCUGCAGACCAUAGGCGAGUGGAGCUCCACUCUCGAACAGGAAAUACGUCACCUCCACUUGUGUUUUACUAACGUCUACACCUACCCCAACCCUAAACCUACCCUUACAAUAAUGCAAAUACAGUAAUUAAAUGAUGCAAUAUUGAUUUGUGUUUUAUUAACGUCUACACCUACCCCAACCCUAACCCUAAACCUACCCUUACAAUAAUGCAAAUACAGUAAUUAAAUGACGCAAUAUUGAUGUACGCAUCAAUAUUGCGUCAUUUAAUUACUAAAAUAAAUAAUUAUUUAUUUUAGUUUUUUUUGCUUUUCUAUGUGCAUUUAUUUAUAUAUUUAUUUAUUUUUGCUUUUUUUUUUUUUUUUUUACAUUUCUUUGUAUAUUUAUUUAUGUAUUUAUUUAUUUUUAAUUUCAGCAGACUUGGCAUUCCAUACAAAGUGACCCAAAAUGAGCAAGCUCAUUAUUGUGAAAUUCUUUGAAUAUUUCAACAGACAUAUUCAGUGUUUCUUUUAACUCUUUCAGGGAGUUUAACAUGUGGGUUCAGGGGACCCUCUAACUUGGUACAUUACAAUAUUAAAAGUUAAAAAUUUAUUGUAGGAGCCAUUUGUUGUAUUGUAAAGUUUUUGUUGUCCACUGAGGUACGCUGUGACUCAGUAUAAUUAGAACACCUGGGUAACAAGUGUGCUUGUUGGUAAUUGGGAAGCACAGUUUUUCACCACACUACAGGGUAGCUUGCAAGAAGGUGGAUUAUUAUGAUAAUUGUUUCCCACAGAAUAAAACAUUUAAAAAGACAAUUGCGUCUUUUUUCUGAGAAAACAAGUCAGAAUUGCGAGAUAUAAACUCACAAUUCUGACUUUUUUUCUUGCAAUUGUGAGUUUAUAUCUCGAAAUUCUGACUUUAUAACUCACAAUUGCAACUUUAUUACAGGCAAUUCUGAGAUAAAAAAAAAAAUCAGAAUUGUGAGAUUAAAAAAUCGCAAUUACCUUUUUAAUUUUUUAUUAUGUAUCAUCAACAUCAAGGAAUGAGAGACACUGGAAGUGGAUUUAAGGCAAUGUUUAUUCAUUGGAACAAAAUAAAGAAAGACAUUGCUUGCUUCUAUGGACUCUGUACACAUGAAAAACUUGCUCACUCCUGUUAUCAAAAACAAAGGCUUAAAGAAAACCCGUAACAAUUAUUAAUGAAGCUCAAACUAUCAAAUUGCUAUUUAUUGUCAGAUAUAAUAAUCAACACUCAAACAAAAACUGAGUUGUAUACAAAAGAAUUAAUUGCAUGAUGUGCUUGAGGUAAAAUGAUAGACAUUUACAAAGUAUUUGUAAAAUGUUAUCAUCAUAUCUGAUCAUUUCUUUUGUUGCUUUUGUGAUUUUUAACUGAACAGGAAAAUCCUGAUAUUGAGAACGCAAUUAUUGUUUUACAAACUCAUGAAAAACUAAA